AUUGAACGCUGGCGGCAGGCCUAACACAUGCAAGUCGAGCGGAUGACGGGAGCUUGCUCCUUGAUUCAGCGGCGGACGGGUGAGUAAUGCCUAGGAAUCUGCCUGGUAGUGGGGGACAACGUUUCGAAAGGAACGCUAAUACCGCAUACGUCCUACGGGAGAAAGCAGGGGACCUUCGGGCCUUGCGCUAUCAGAUGAGCCUAGGUCGGAUUAGCUAGUAGGUGAGGUAAUGGCUCACCUAGGCGACGAUCCGCAACUGGGCUGAGAGGAUGAUCAGUCGCAGUGGAACUGAGACACGGUCAGACUCCUACGGGAGUCAGAAGUGGGGAAUAUUGGACAAUGGGCGAAAGCCUGAUCCAGCCAUGCCGCGUGUGUGAAGAAGGUCUUCGGAUUGUAAAGCACUUUAAGUUGGGAGGAAGGGCAGUAAGCUAAUACCUUGCUGUUUUGACGUUACCGACAGAAUAAGCACCGGCUAACUCUGUGCCAGCCGCCGCCGUAACAC
rnacentral:rRNA from 1 species